rnacentral:rRNA from 1 species
CCGGAAGUCACUGCUAUUGGGAUUCGACUAAGCCAUGCGAGUCGAGAGGGUUCGGCCCUCGGCAGACGGCUCAGUAACACGUGGAUAAUCUGCCCUUAGGUGGAGGAUAACCUCGGGAAACUGAGAAUAAUACUCCAUAGAUCUAGGAUGCUGGAAUGCACUUAGAUUGAAAGUUCCGGCGCCUAAGGAUGAGUCUGCGGACUAUCAGGUAGUAGUCAGGGUAAAGGCCUGACUAGCCUACGACGGAUACGGGUUGUGAGAGCAAUAACCCGGAGACGAUAUCUGAGACACGAUAUCGGGCCCUACGGGGCGCAGCAGGCGCGAAACCUUCACAAUGUGCGAAAGCGCGAUGAGGGGAUCCCAAGUGCUUGCUCGUAAGAGUAAGCUGUUUUUAUGUCUAAAACGCAUAGAGAGUAAGGGCUGGGUAAGACGGGUGCCAGCCGCCGCGGUAAUACCUGCAGCUCAAGUGGUGACCGCUAUUAUUGGGCCUAAAACAUUCGUAGCCGGUUUGGUAAAUGCCUGGGUAAAUCGUGUAGCUUAACUAUACGAAUUCCGGGUAGACUGCCAAACUUGAGACCGGGAGAAGCUAGAGGUACUCCUUGGGUAGAGGUGAAAUUCUGUAAUCCUAGGGGGACCACCAGUGGCGAAGGCGUCUAGCUAGAACGGGUUUGACGGUGAGGAAUGAAGCCCUGGGGCGCAAACCGGAUUAGAUACCCGGGUAGUCCAGGGUGUAAACGCUGCUUGCUUGAUGUUAGUUGGGCUCCGAGCCCAAUUAGUGUCGGAGAGAAGUUGUUAAGCAAGCUGCCUGGGAAGUACGAUCGCAAGAUUGAAACUUAAAGGAAUUGGCGGGGGAGCAC